rnacentral:rRNA from 1 species
CCAAUAGCGUAUAUUAAAGUUGUUGCAGUUAAAAAGCUCGUAGUUGAACUUCGGGAUCAGUACGCCGGUCGUGCCUUCGGUAUGCACUGGUGUCACUGGUUUCUCCCUUCUGAAGAACCAUCAUGCCAUUCAGUUGGUGUGGCGGGGAAUCAGGACUGUUACUUUGAAAAAAUUAGAGUGUUUAAAGCAGGCUCGCGCUUGAAUACAUUAGCAUGGAAUAAUGAAAUAGGACGUUUGACCCUAUUUUGUUGGUUUCUAGGAUCGACGUAAUGAUUAAUAGGGAUAGUUGGGGGCAUUAGUAUUCAAUUGUCAGAGGUGAAAUUCUUGGAUUUAUUGAAGACUAACUACUGCGAAAGCAUUUGCCAAGGAUGUUUUCAUUAAUCAAGAACGAAAGUUAGGGGAUCGAAGACGAUCAGAUACCGUCGUAGUCUUAACCAUAAACUAUGCCGACUAGGGAUCGGAUGAUGUUAAUUUUUUAAUGACUCAUUCGGCGCCUUACG